rnacentral:rRNA from 1 species
UACGGAGGGGGCUAGCGUUGUUCGGAAUUACUGGGCGUAAGGGCUCGUAGGCGGCCCACUAAGUCCGACGUGAAAUCCCCAGGCUUAACCUGGGAACUGCGUCGGAUACUGGAUGGCUUGAAUUCGGGAGAGGGAUGCAGAAUUCCAGGUGUAGCGGUGAAAUGCGUAGAUAUCUGGAGGAAUACCGGUGGCGAAGGCGGCAUCCUGGACCGACAUUGACGCUGAUGAGCGAAAGCUAGGGGAGCAAACGGG